rnacentral:RNase_P_RNA from 1 species
GUAAGCAAGACGAUUGCGGCCCCACAAGGGCUGAGGAAAGUCCGAGCACCGCAGGGCAGGGUGCCGGGUAACACCCGGCGAUGGCGACAUCAGGGAAAGUGCAACAGAAAUAAACCGCCCGCUUUAUGCAGGCAAGGAUGGAAAGGCGAGGCAAGAGCUCACCGGCGGUCCGGCGACGGAUCGGCCAUGUAAACCCCACCCGGUGCAAGAUUGGAAUGGGAGCAUUCAACAGCGGCCCGCUGCGCUCCUGAUAAUCGCAUGAGCCGUCUGGCAACAGCCGGCCUCAGAUAGAUAAUCGUCCGCGGGGCGACCCGCGACAGAACUCGGCUUACUGCUUG